AGUGCCCGGCUCAGUACUGUGAGUUGUCCUGGGCUAAGCCACCCAUUUAAGUGUUUCAGUCUCGGGGGUGUGACUGGGAAUCAGGAGGCCACUUGGUGGCUGUGGGGUUUAGGAUGAGUUCCUUAGCCUCCCAGGACCAGAAUUUCCUUACCUGUGAGGGAGGGAUCACAACCUCAUCCUCACAGGGUCCUUGAAAUUUCAAACUCUGUUGGCACACCACUGAGCUGUUGUUACAAAGUUUCAGAGGCUGUUAUUUCACCUCAGCACCAACACUGGACAAUGCAAGCAGCCAGAGGAGGGUUGGACCUUCCUUCUUCCAGGGGACAAGACUUUGGGAGUCCCCACCACCACUUGCCAGCUUUGUCAAAGGUUACUGGCUCUGGUCUCCUGGAGGCCACCAUGUUGAGUAAAACAAGAUGCCAAUGCGACGAGUCUGCUUGUCGGAACCACCUGAUGACUGGAGAACCUUUACUUUUUAGGGCAACACCGGUGGCAUAUGGAAGUUUCCAGGCUAAGGGUUGAAUGGGAGCUAUAGCUGCUGGCCUACACCACAGCCAUGGCAAUGCCAGAUCCGAGCUGCAUCUGUGACCUACACCACAGCUCAUGGCAGUGCUGGAUCCUUAACCCACUGAGUGAGCCCAGGAAUCAAACCCGCAUCCUCAUGGAUUCUAGUCAGGUUCAUUGCUGCUGCCAGCUUGUGACUUUUAGGAUCAGAUGCUGCCUCCAGCUGUGUCGAUAACCCUCACUUUACAGUCAAAAUCUGGAUUCCAGGAGGCAAGGCAGCUGGCUAGCACUUGAACCCAGUCCGUGUGCUGCCCUAGGCCCUGAAUGCUCUGGUUGAUGCAUUUUAAAUCUUUGAGGGUGUUGGUUAUAAAAAGACUCUGAAGCUCUGGGCUCAUAGUUGACGGAAACACCGCCGACCUGCCCUACAGGUGUGCUUCUCCAAAAGCUCCUGUCAGAGCAUCACACCAGCCCGCUGGUGGCGCAGCCACCUGUGACAAGUUUCCAUUUGACUCAUGGUUGUCAAGAAGGUGACACGACUUAACCAUCUUCACAGGGCGCUGUGAUUGCUGAGCUGACACAGCUCCGCUCGUGGGUGGCAAGCGUAUGCUUCCCAUUAAGAAAAUUGCUACUUUUGAAACAAGCUCCGAAUGGAACUUUUUUGCUUUUACUAAAAUUAAGAAAAUAAUAAUAAGACAACCCGCCCAACACCCCAAAUUUAAAA
rnacentral:lncRNA from 1 species